GAUGAACGCUGGCGGCGUGCCUAAUACAUGCAAGUCGAGCGAACAGACGAGGAGCUUGCUCCUUUGACGUUAGCGGCGGACGGGUGAGUAACACGUGGGUAACCUACCUAUAAGACUGGGAUAACUUCGGGAAACCGGAGCUAAUACCGGAUAAUAUUUCGAACCGCAUGGUUCGAUAGUGAAAGAUGGCUCUGCUAUCACUUAUAGAUGGACCUGCGCCGUAUUAGCUAGUUGGUAAGGUAACGGCUUACCAAGGCAACGAUACGUAGCCGACCUGAGAGCGUGGUCGGCCACACUGGAACUGAGACACGGUCCAGACUCCUGCGGGGGGCAGCAGUCGGGAAUCUUACGCAAUGGGCGAAAGCCUGACGGUGCAACGCCGCGUGAGUGAUGAAGGUCUUCGGCUCGGAGAACUCUGUUAUUAGGAAGGUACUAACGUGUAAGUAACUGUGCACGUCUUGACGGUACCUAAUCAGAAAGCCACGGCUAACUACGUG
rnacentral:rRNA from 1 species